rnacentral:rRNA from 1 species
UAGGGAAUCUUCGGCAAUGGACGAAAGUCUGACCGAGCAACGCUGCGUGAGUGAAGAAGGUUUUCGGAUCGUAAAACUCUGUUGUUAGAGAAGAACAAGGACGUUAUUAACUGAACGUCCCCUGACGGUAUCUAACCAGAAAGCCACGGCUAACUACGUGCCAGCAGCCGCGGUAAUACGUAGGUGGCAAGCGUUGUCCGGAUUUAUUGGGCGUAAAGCGAGCGCAGGCGGUUUCUUAAGUCUGAUGUGAAAGCCCCCGGCUCAACCGGGGAGGGUCAUUGGAAACUGGGAGGCUUGAAUGCAGAAGAGGAGAGUGGAAUUCCAUGAGUAGCGGUGAAAUGCGUAGAUAUAUGGAGGAACACCAGUGGCGAAGGCGGCUCUCUGGUCUGUAACUGACGCUGAGGCUCGAAAGCGUGGGGAGCAAACAGG